rnacentral:rRNA from 1 species
GACGAACCGUGCAAACGUUGUUCGGAAUCACUGGGCUUAAAGGGCGCGUAGGCGGGCAGGCAAGUCGAAGGUGAAAUCCCACGGCUCAACCGUGGAAGUGCCCCCGAUACUGCCUGUCUCGAGGGAGAUAGGGGCGUGCGGAACUUCCGGUGGAGCGGUGAAAUGCGUAGAUAUCGGAAGGAACACCGGUGGCGAAAGCGGCGCGCUGGGACGUUACUGACGCUGAGACGCGAAAGCGUGGGGAGCAAACAGG